rnacentral:rRNA from 1 species
AUUGAACGCUGGCGGCAGGCCUAACACAUGCAAGUCGAACGGUAACAGGAAGCAGCUUGCUGCUUUGCUGACGAGUGGCGGACGGGUGAGUAAUGUCUGGGAAACUGCCCGAUGGAGGGGGAUAACUACUGGAAACGGUAGCUAAUACCGCAUAAUGUCGCAAGACCAAAGAGGGGGACCUUCGGGCCUCUUGCCAUCGGAUGUGCCCAGAUGGGAUUAGCUUGUUGGUGAGGUAACGGCUCACCAAGGCGACGAUCCCUAGCUGGUCUGAGAGGAUGACCAGCCACACUGGAACUGAGACACGGUCCAGACUCCUACGGGAGGCAGCAGUGGGGAAUAUUGCACAAUGGGCGCAAGCCUGAUGCAGCCAUGCCGCGUGUAUGAAGAAGGCCUUCGGGUUGUAAAGUACUUUCAGCGGGGAGGAAGGGGGUAAGGUUAAUAACCUUAGCCAUUGACGUUACCCGCAGAAGAAGCACCGGCUAACUCCGUGCCAGCAGCCGCGGUAAUACGGAGGGUGCAAGCGUUAAUCGGAAUUACUGGGCGUAAAGCGCACGCAGGCGGUCUGUCAAGUCGGAUGUGAAAUCCCCGGGCUCAACCUGGGAACUGCAUUCGAAACUGGCAGGCUUGAGUCUCGUAGAGGGGGGUAGAAUUCCAGGUGUAGCGGUGAAAUGCGUAGAGAUCUGGAGGAAUACCGGUGGCGAAGGCGGCCCCCUGGACGAAGACUGACGCUCAGGUGCGAAAGCGUGGGGAGCAAACAGGAUUAGAUACCCUGGUAGUCCACGCCGUAAACGAUGUCUAUUUGGAGGUUGUGCCCUUGAGGCGUGGCUUCCGGAGCUAACGCGUUAAAUAGACCGCCUGGGGAGUACGGCCGCAAGGUUAAAACUCAAAUGAAUUGACGGGGGCCCGCACAAGCGGUGGAGCAUGUGGUUUAAUUCGAUGCAACGCGAAGAACCUUACCUGGUCUUGACGUCCACAGAAUUUCUCAGAGAUGAGGAAGUGCCUUCGGGAACUGUGAGACAGGUGCUGCAUGGCUGUCGUCAGCUCGUGUUGUGAAAUGUUGGGUUAAGUCCCGCAACGAGCGCAACCCUUAUCCUUUGUUGCCAGCGAUUCGGUCGGGAACUCAAAGGAGACUGCCAGUGAUAAACUGGAGGAAGGUGGGGAUGACGUCAAGUCAUCAUGGCCCUUACGACCAGGGCUACACACGUGCUACAAUGGCAUAUACAAAGAGAAGCGACCUCGCGAGAGCAAGCGGACCUCAUAAAGUAUGUCGUAGUCCGGAUUGGAGUCUGCAACUCGACUCCAUGAAGUCGGAAUCGCUAGUAAUCGUGGAUCAGAAUGCCACGGUGAAUACGUUCCCGGGCCUUGUACACACCGCCCGUCACACCAUGGGAGUGGGUUGCAAAAGAAGUAGGUAGCUUAACCUUCGGGAGGGCGCUUACCACUUUGUGAUUCAUGACUGGGGUGA